rnacentral:rRNA from 1 species
UACGAAGGGGGCUAGCGUUGCUCGGAAUUACUGGGCGUAAAGCGCACGUAGGCGGAUUGUUAAGUCAGGGGUGAAAUCCUGGAGCUCAACUCCAGAACUGCCUUUGAUACUGAGGAUCUUGAGUUCGGGAGAGGUGAGUGGAACUGCGAGUGUAGAGGUGAAAUUCGUAGAUAUUCGCAAGAACACCAGUGGCGAAGGCGGCUCACUGGCCCGAUACUGACGCUGAGGUGCGAAAGCGUGGGAAGCAAACAGG